rnacentral:rRNA from 1 species
UAACGAUGAUAGAAGCUUGCUUUAUUGAUGACGACCGGCGCACGGGUGAGUAACGCGUAUCCAACCUUCCCUAUACUAGAGGAUAGCCCGGCGAAAGUCGGAUUAAUACUCUAUGUUGUUCGAUGCGGACAUCUAAAUUGAACCAAAGGUUUACUGGUAUAGGAUGGGGAUGCGUCUGAUUAGGUUGUUGGCGGGGUAACGGCCCACCAAGCCAGCGAUCAGUAGGGGUUCUGAGAGGAAGGUCCCCCCACAUUGGUACUGAGACACGGACCAAACUCCUACGGGAGGCAGCAGUGAGGAAUAUUGGUCAAUGGGCGAGAGCCUGAACCAGCCAAGUAGCCGUGCAGGAUGACGGCCCUAUGGGUUGUAAACUGCUUUUGCCGGGGAAUAAAGUGCAGUACGUGUACUGUUUUGUAUGUACCCGGAGAAUAAGGACCGGCUAAUUCCGUGCCAGCCGCUGC